rnacentral:lncRNA from 1 species
UUUCAGGUUUUUAUCCAUCUCCCCCCCUCUCUCAACGCCAUUUUUUCUCCAUGAAUACAACCAUUGAUUCAUCUCCAUUGUCCAACGAAAAUUUCAUUGUCACGGGCUGAUGCUUUGAAUCAAUGUCGAAAUCAAGCCUUAGAGAGAAAGAGACACCCCAUUAUAAUGGCCGUUACUUUGCAAUGAAAAUCGACCUCCUUGAACUCCUCCGUUUCCUCUCCUUCAAGUAUCAAAAUUAUGAUUUUCGUCUUAUAUUCCGAGAUAAUUUGGGUAUCCAAUUGUUUGAUUGUUUCAUGUUUUUGGAUAAUUGGGGUGUCCAAUUUGAUGGGUUGAGAUUUGGGGAUAUGGGGUUCAGUUGAAAUUGAAAACCCAUUUGGCUUGAAAGCGAAGAAGAUAAGAUCGCCGGAGGUAUUAUCAAAGGAUUGAAGCGUCUCUUCAUAGGGUGAAAGGUCGUCCUUUUCGUCAAGGGAAAGUUGAAUGGAAUUCGGUUAAGGGUCUGAUUUUUCCUUCUGCUAUCGAAAAUAGGCCUUAUUUAUCCUUCGUUUGAGUUUUUUGUCAAAAAUAUCCCUGCCGUUAUAGUUUGGUUUAAAUUUACCCUUCCCCUGUUAAAUACAUCCUACUAGAUUUUUAAAGGGCACGUGGCAUCAUUUGAUUGAACCAGACAACCCGCCCAGAUCCUUUAAUUAAAAUCCGCCCGACCCAUAAUUUUGCAUCCAGCAGUCCAUCAAACUGAAAUUUAUUGUUUGUGUAAAGCUACUAGGCAGAUUUGUUUACUACAACUGUUAAGAAAAUUUCAGAUUUUUAUUUACUGCUGAAAUUUGAUGUUUGAUGCAUGAGUAUAGUAUCAAUUUAAUCAUGAUGCUAGACAUUUUUGUUAAAGCAAAUUGUAAAAGCACAAACCAAAGUUGCCUCUUAAGUUAAGGUUAAGAUAAGGGAAAUUUUGUUGUAUUAUUGAGAGACUAAAUUUGUGGUUGUAUAGUGAUUUUUAUAUGUGAGUUUGUCUGUAACUGAGCAGACAUAAAAAGAAGAACAUAUAAAUGAAUAAAGAAAGAAAAGAAAUGAAUAAAGAAAGCAAAGAAAUCUGAUCGAGAAAGAAAGAAUAAUAAAUGAAUAAAGAAUCAAAAGAAGGAAGGAAGAAAUUAUACAUAGUAGAACAUAUAGAAAGCGAGUAUAAGAAAGCGAGUAUAAGAAAGCGAGUAGAACAUGUAGAUUCUGAAGAUCUAUAUGUGGCGGGCGGGUUUUAAUUAAUUGGUCGGGCGAAUUUUAAAGGAUUUGGGCAGGUCGUCUGGUCCAAUCAAAUGAUGCCACGUGCUCUUUAAAAAUUUG